rnacentral:misc_RNA from 1 species
GAUGAAGAACGUAGCGAAAUGGGAUAAGUAAUGUGAAUUGCAGAAUUCCGUGAAUCAUCGAAUCUUUGAACGCACAUUGCGCCCCCUGGCAUUCCGGGGGGCAUGCCUGUCCGAGCGUCAUUUCUGCCCUCCAGCCCGGCUGGGUGUUGGGCGCUGUCCCCCCGGGGACACGCCCCAAAGGCAGUGGCGGCGCCGCGUCGGGUCCUCGAGCGUAUGGGGCUUUGUCACCCGCUCGGGACGGACUCGUCGGCGCUGGUCUUCCUCCAGGCGACCCUUCGGGGCUCGUCUUCCUUCGGUUGACCUCGGAUCAGGCAUGGUUACCCGCUGAACUUAAGCAUAUCAAUAAGCGGAGGA